ensembl:lncRNA
GUUUAGGAAUGCUUGGAGCUGACCGCAGCGUGGCUAGCCAGACGGUGGUGGGGCUGGUAACUGGGCCUCUCACUUGCUCCUCACAUUUUCAGUUGGGCGUCUGGGUAUUUACAUUUUCAGAAUUGCAUGCUUUUGGCUUUGAUUCAUAUCGUUUGGCGUGAGUGUGUGUGGAGCACUGGCCCCAGUGAGGGUCCUGUCCCCCUGCAGCCUAGCUACCAAUAGAACCCAAUUUGUUUAUUAAAACCCUUUGAUUGUUGUUUUACUACAUUCCCAGAGCUGACAUGAUAUGAAACAAUUUAUUAAAGUUAUUCCUAUUUUAAUGAUAGAUUUAUUUGACAGAUGUUCAAAUAAAUGUUGUACUCUGGGGGAAUACUUUGCCUUGGUCUGUCUGCUUUGGUCAUCGGUGGGUCUGUAGUUGUUGUGUUUCAAGUUAUAAAUCAAAAGAAUAAGGUGUUGUGCUAAAAAGCUCAGGAGCCGCUGGUUUCUGCAACCAACAGGCCCCAGGGCCCUUUGACCAUCCCUAUAGUGCCUGUCUGUUGCCUCUACCAGCGAACUCGAGAACACUGGUUGCCUACAGGUAUUUUACAGUGCAGUAAGGUAAGGUGUGAAAGUUUGUGUCCACACCUCCUUGGAGUGGUCUUCUGGUGAGUUGUGGUUCAAAUGCAUUGUUCUCGAGUUCUCUGGUGGAGGCAACAGACAGUCACUAUGGGUGGUCAAUGGGCUACCCUGUUAAUUGCAGUGACCAGCUAAGAUGUUCUUUUUAGCACAACACACUUUCUUUUAUUAAAUACUUUGGAUUUUAACUCUUCAUCCAAGGUGUCUUCUGUCCGUCCAGAGUUUCCUUUUUUUAGCACAACAGGAACAAGAUCUUUUUGUGAUGGCAUGUGAUCUACCGCCACUGCCUUGGCGUGAUCAACCUAUUGGGUACCUCCUGGUGUAUUGCCACAUCCAAAUACUAUUCCAGAGCAAUAGUGGGAGCUGCCAUGCAGGGACCUUAGCUCUGUGUCCUUUAGUCUGAGCACUCUCUUUAAGCAAUAAUUACUAACCAAGAAACUGCUUUGAAUCCAAGCGUCAGAAAAAAAAUGUAAUAUUCAUCCUAGCGGCUGCUCUUUCAGUGCAUUAUAAUUGCAUUCCAAUAAAAUGCACUUUAGGAACGAUGUUGUAUCUGCCAUUUUCAUAUCAUCUUCAGACCUGAGCGUUGUAAUGAAUUAUUAUUAUCAGUCCUGACACAGGUUCCUUCCUAUCGUCCCCCACUCUCUGCGUAGUGAAUAAAUAGGGUGGGAUUAUCAGGUCACUUAUAGUCCACUGACAUUUUUGUAUUUGAAAUGAGCCACACUAUGUGUUGGCAAUUUGCCUUCCUACGGCAGCGCUCGAUAAAGCAGAGCCAAUUAAAAAGCCGCAAAUUGUUGCUUUUGGCGAAGUCACGCAUGAAAAGCACGCAUUUCAUGUAAGUUGCAAUGGAGAUUGCACAGGCUGUAUUCAUAUGAGUGUGGAAAAUAUAACCAGGAAUGGUAGUUUGUUUGACAUCAUCAGUCAAGUCGCGUGGCGUUAUUUUUGCAAUACCUCUGGCAGACAAUCCUUGAAACAAUAUGAAACCCAUUACAGGGGAUCUGGACAGCAUGUUGGAUUCUUUGUCUUUCAUGGUAUUGAAUAAGCAACUGAAUGACGCCCACUACGGGAUGAAUGAUGGGAGGCAAAAACUGCAUCCCUGAGGUUUCAAAUGAUUAUCAACUCUACAGAAUGAGAACAUUUUGCUUUGCGUGUGUAGCACUUGUCUGGGACUAGUAUUAGAAAAAGCACUAAAUAUAUACCUAGAUUUGAAGGAGAGGUAGGCUUAAGACAAAGAACAAGUUGAACGAAUUACCAGUUUAUUGCUUCACAAUUGGUCAUGCAACAAUCACAAUAUAAAACAGUGUAAAAUAAAAAAAGAAGAGUAGAUUGUUGGGAAAUUGUAUGAUUCUUGUGAAAGAACUCUGUCUUUCCAGUGUAGGUAUAUGUACAGUUCCCACGAUAUAAUCCGUUCAGUGCUGGAAAGUUCCACGAGUUCGGUUCUGGUUCAGGUCUUAAUGUAUACUGUAUCUCUAAACUACCUUACUACCGGUCUACCUGACGGCAGGACUAGGAUCUGAUGUCUGCUAAGCGAAUCAGGUUCUGCCUGAAUCAUACUGUAGGCCACACCGCAUCCACGACCUUUUAAACAUUGCUAGAGGUGGUUUUAGCCUUUUUCAAGAGUUGUGAAGUCCUCUGGUGCCUGUUCUGCCUGUUGUUUGUUUCGUACCAUUCAUUCUGCAAGUAAAAGUUCCAAACCUGGUUCAACUAAGUCAAUCAAAUGUCUGAGAUGAUUGACAUCAGGCUAUCUCUGUUCCUCGAAGGCGGAUCGGCGCUCAAAACGUCUCGUUAGUCUGAACCAGAUGUCAGUCAUCAGGAUGUUUUGACCCCGUUUUGACGUGAGGCCUUCGGCAGAGUAUUCCUGAACAUAAUACUUGCAUUGUUUUUUGGGAGGAGGAUGCUUGCCUUCAUACUUUUGUGAGGAAUUAGUGUUCGGUCUGUUUUGUAGAGUAGGACCUUCUCCUGAGAUGUAUCGUCAAAAUAUAUCCAAAUAGAUUAAACCUUUUUGAUUGAUUUUGAUUCUGUCUAUAACAAGACCUAAAAGCAAACCCAGUCCAGUCAGAGUAAAUCACAAUAAAAAAAUGGAUUAGCUGUGUCCUCGCGUAAACCACACCAGACAGUCUGUUUUUCAUCACAUUUUAUAUGGAUGAGCCCGUCAAUCUGACUGCCAUAGAGCAACGAUUAGGAAGGGGGUGAAUGUUUUGAUGAACAAUAUGUAUAUUGUAUAGUUUCUUUAUAAAGGGGCAAAAGUGAAGAUAAUUAUUCAUGAAAAUAAGAAGGAACCCAUUAUUGUGCUGCUUGACAUAGUAAUGUGUUAC